GCAGUCGUCACUGGCGUGAAGAGGAGAGAGAGAAACAAGGUUACUUGGCCGGAGAGAUCGCAAAAAAAGAAACCGGCGUCCUGAUAUUACAGGUGCAGGGCAAGAUGUUAGUAGUCGUGGUUCAGGGCUGAAUCUCGAAGAGAAAAUAAGUGGUCUUCAAGAUGGGGUCUUGAAGAAAAAGAUAAGGAUUCUCAAAUGAGAAGAGGACAGAUGCUAAGAAGGAAGAUGCCCCUCUGAGAAAAAAAGCUCUUGCUAGUGGGGGGCGCUUAGCUUCUGAGCGUGAGAAUGAUUCUCGUGAUAAAUGGAGGCCACGUCAUCGUUUGGAAGUUUAUGCAGGCGGAUCCUCUUACCGCAGUGCUCCAGGAUUCAGCUUGGGGAGGGGACGGGUGGAGAAAUCGAAUGUGGGUUUUACAGUAGGACGAGGGAAGCCACUGUCUGUUUCUGUUGUUGGUGCUCUUCUUGGGGAUAAAAACAAGACCUUCAAUGCAUAUUGCUACCCAAGAGGAAACUCCUUGACAUUUACCGCAUGCAAAAGACUGCUCCAAAUUUUUAACCCCACCUGAUGAGAUUGAUUAUUCAUCGACAAUGACACACGAAGAAAUUAUUGAGCCUUUGGCAUUUGUUCCUCCUGAUGCAGAGGCAGGGGCUGUACUUGGUGAUAUAUGAAAGGAAAAACUACAAGCAGUGACGAGAUCUGCAACUCAUUUAGGACACAAGUGAAGAAAAACAAUGUUUCUCAGUUAACAGGGAGGAUAGUGUUGAAUCUGGUGAGAAGGCUUCUGUAAACAAUAAUUAUCAAGAAAUGAAUAGUUCAAAGAGGUGGACAAAAAUAUGUGACACCAUCUGAUAUUUAUGAAACCAAUGCUUUGGGGUCACAUAGGGAGAUCGAUGGUUCUGCAAUUACAUG